AGAUUUUUCAGUAAGAAAGGACAGAAAAAGCAUGAAGAGAACUAGAUAGACAGUGUUCCAAUCCCCGGCCUGAUACUCAGUACAACAGAGACUUUCUUCCGCAGCUUGAGUCUGGUUAAUCUCAGCUGCCACAUCUCUCUAAUCUUCAUUUUAAGUGCACAGAGAAGCAGAAGAUUUGGAAGAUCUGUAGUACAAAGAUAGAACUCUGCAUCUAUAAAGAUACACAGUAUUGUGGAUUAAUG